UACGAAGGGGGCUAGCGUUGCUCGGAAUCACUGGGCGUAAAGGGUGCGUAGGCGGGUCUUUUAAGUCAGGGGUGAAAUCCUGGAGCUCAACUCCAGAACUGCCUUUGAUGCCGAAGAUCUUGAGUUCGGGAGAGGUGAGUGGAACUGCGAGUGUAGAGGUGAAAUUCGUAGAUAUUCGCAAGAACACCAGUGGCGAAGGCGGCUCACUGGCCCGGUACUGACGCUGAGGUGCGAAAGCGUGGGGAGCAAACAGGAU
rnacentral:rRNA from 1 species